AAUCAUCAAAAACCUUUCUCUUUGAUCGUCUUUGGUCGGGAGAAGGAUGUUUUUGGACUUGGAGGGUUCCAUGCUUGCUUUCACUUUUGAAAAUGAGCUCCUCUCAAAUGAAUUAGCGGGGUCUGCUUUGCUGGUCCUUGACGUGAUAAGAUGUUUCUACGUUUUGGAUUUAGCACUGUCCCUUAGAUGCCUGCUCCUAACUGUCUCACGGACAAUGAUGGUGCUCCGGUCACCGCCAUCUACAUUGGUGGAGGGGGCUGGACCCACAAAAGAAAAAA
rnacentral:misc_RNA from 2 species